GCAGUCGAGCGAACUGAUUAGAAGCUUGCUUCUAUGACGUUAGCGGCGGACGGGUGAGUAACACGUGGGCAACCUGCCUGUAAGACUGGGAUAACUUCGGGAAACCGAAGCUAAUACCGGAUAGGAUCUUCUCCUUCAUGGGAGAUGAUUGAAAGAUGGUUUCGGCUAUCACUUACAGAUGGGCCCGCGGUGCAUUAGCUAGUUGGUGAGGUAACGGCUCACCAAGGCAACGAUGCAUAGCCGACCUGAGAGGGUGAUCGGCCACACUGGGACUGAGACACGGCCCAGACUCCUACGGGAGGCAGCAGUAGGGAAUCUUCCGCAAUGGACGAAAGUCUGACGGAGCAACGCCGCGUGAGUGAUGAAGGCUUUCGGGUCGUAAAACUCUGUUGUUAGGGAAGAACAAGUACGAGAGUAACUGCUCGUACCUUGACGGUACCUAACCAGAAAGCCACGGCUAACUACGUGCCAGCAGCCGCGGUAAUACGUAGGUGGCAAGCGUUAUCCGGAAUUAUUGGGCGUAAAGCGCGCGCAGGCGGUUUCUUAAGUCUGAUGUGAAAGCCCACGGCUCAACCGUGGAGGGUCAUUGGAAACUGGGGAACUUGAGUGCAGAAGAGAAAAGCGGAAUCCACGUGUAGCGGUGAAAUGCGUAGAGAUGUGGAGGACACCAGUGGCGAAGGCGGCUUUUUGGUCUGUAACUGACGCUGAGGCGCGAAAGCGUGGGGAGCAAACAGGAUU
rnacentral:rRNA from 1 species